rnacentral:rRNA from 1 species
CAGCCGCCACGGUAAAACGUAGGUGGCGAGCGUUGUCCGGAAUUAUUGGGCGUAAAGGGCUCGCAGGCGGUUUCUUAAGUCUGAUGUGAAAGCCCCCGGCUCAACCGGGGAGGGUCAUUGGAAACUGGGAAACUUGAGUGCAGAAGAGGAGAGUGGAAUUCCACGUGUAGCGGUGAAAUGCGUAGAGAUGUGGAGGAACACCAGUGGCGAAGGCGACUCUCUGGUCUGUAACUGACGCUGAGGAGCGAAAGCGUGGGGAGCGAACAGGAUUAGAUACCCGUGUAGUCCCUGUCUCUUAUAC